rnacentral:rRNA from 1 species
GCCUACGGGGGGCAGCAGUAGGGAAUUGUCGUCAAUGGGCGCAAGCCUGAACGAGCAAUGCCGCGUGAACGAGGAAGGUCUUCGGAUCGUAAAGUUCUGUUGAAGGGGAAAAAGAGCGGAGAGAGGAAAUGGUCUCCGAUUGAUAUUACCCUUCGAGGAAGUCACGGCUAACUACGUGCCAGCAGCCGCGGUAAUACGUAGGUGGCGAGCGUUAUCCGGAAUGAUUGGGCGUAAAGGGUGCGUAGGCGGCCUGCUAAGUCUGGAGUGAAAGGUACCGGCUCAACCGGUACAGGCUCUGGAAACUG